rnacentral:piRNA from 1 species
UUGCAAAUCUUGAUGAGUGAA